rnacentral:rRNA from 1 species
CACGUAGGGCGCAAGCGUUGUCCGGAAUUAUUGGGCGUAAAGAGCUCGUAGGCGGUCUGUUACGUCUGCUGUGAAAACCCGGGGCUUAACCCUGGGCUUGCAGUGGAUACGGGCAGACUAGAGGCAGGUAGGGGAGAAUGGAAUUCCCGGUGUAGCGGUGAAAUGCGUAGAUAUCUGGAGGAAUACCGGUGGCGAAGGCGGCAUCCUGGACCGAGAUUGACGCUGAACGGCGAAAGCUAGGGGAGCAAACGGG